rnacentral:rRNA from 1 species
CCCUACCUCGGGAGGCAGCAGUGAGGAAUAUUGGUCAAUGGGCGAGAGCCUGAACCAGCCAAGUCGCGUGAGGGAAGACGGUCCUAUGGAUUGUAAACCUCUUUUGCCGGGGAGCAAAAAGCGGUACGUGUACCGCAUCGAGAGUACCCGGAGAAAAAGCAUCGGCUAACUCCGUGCCAGCAGCCGCGGUAAUACGGAGGAUGCGAGCGUUAUCCGGAUUUAUUGGGUUUAAAGGAUGCGCAGGCGGCGAGUUAAGUCAGCGGUAAAAUUUCGGGGCUCAA